ACGAAGGGGGCUAGCGUUGCUCGGAAUUACUGGGCGUAAAGCGCACGUAGGUGGCUCUUUAAGUCGGGGGUGAAAUCCUGGAGCUCAACUCCAGAACUGCCUUCGAUACUGAAGAGCUUGAAUCCGGGAGAGGUGAGUGGAACUGCGAGUGUAGAGGUGAAAUUCGUAGAUAUUCGCAAGAACACCAGUGGCGAAGGCGGCUCACUGGACUGGUAUUGACGCUGAGGUGCGAAAGCGUGGGGAGCAAACAGGA
rnacentral:rRNA from 1 species